rnacentral:rRNA from 1 species
GACGAACGCUGGCGGCGUGCUUAACACAUGCAAGUCGAACGGACAGGCCCUGCUCUUGUGGGGUGCUCGUGUGGCGAACGGGUGAGUAACACGUGUGUAACCUGCCCUUGACUUUGGGAUAACUUCUGGAAACUGGGGCUAAUACCGGAUAGGAGCUCCUGCUGCAUGGUGGGGGUUGGAAAGUUUCGGCGGUUGGGGCUGGUCUCGCGGCUUAUCAGCUUGUUGGUGGAGUAGUGGCUUACCAAGGCUUUGACGGGUAGCCGGCCUGAGAGGGUGACCGGCCACAUUGGGACUGAGAUACGGCCCAGAAUGCUACGUGAGGCAGUAGGCGGGAAUAUUGCGCAGUGGGGGGAAGCCUGAUGCAGCAACGCCGCGUGCGGGAUGACGGCCUUCGGGUUGUAAACCGCUUUCGCCGGUGACGAAGCGUGAUUGACGGUAAUGGGUAAAAAAGCACCGGCUAACUACGUG